rnacentral:rRNA from 1 species
GACGAACGCUGGCGGCGUGCUUAACACAUGCAAGUCGAACGGAAAGGCCCUGCUUUUGUGGGGUGCUCGAGUGGCGAACGGGUGAGUAACACGUGAGUAACCUGCCCUUGACUUUGGGAUAACUUCAGGAAACUGGGGCUAAUACCGGAUAGGAGCUCCUGCUGCAUGGUGGGGGUUGGAAAGUUUCGGCGGUUGGGGAUGGACUCGCGGCUUAUCAGCUUGUUGGUUGGGUAGUGGCUUACCAAGGCUUUGACGGGUAGCCGGCCUGGGAGGGUGACCGGCCACAUUGGGACUGAGAUACGGCCCAGACUCCUACGGGAGGCAGCAGUGGGGAAUAUUGCACAAUGGGCGGAAGCCUGAUGCAGCAACGCCGCGUGCGGGAUGACGGCCUUCGGGUUGUAAACCGCUUUCGCCUGUGACGAAGCGUGAGUGACGGUAAUGGGUAAAGAAGCACCGGCUAACUACGUG